GCUAAUUUAUGAGCUGCGAGGACUGCAUUCCUUAGCUGUUACAUGGCGUUAUAUGAAGCUUACAAACGUCGCUCAGUUAUGAGAAAUAGGAAAUUAAAUCUUUUGUUUUUGAGACAAGAAUCUCAUCGCAGGCCACAUCACCAUGCCAGCCUGUAACUCAUCAUGUAGCCUGGGCUGGCCUUGAACUCACAGCGAUCUUCCUGCCUCAUUUUCUUGAGUGCUAGCUACAUCGUAGGUCUGAACGACACCUAGCCUAAUGUUUGUUUAAAUUUUACUCUAUUUCAUUUUUUAUCAUUGUGUGUGAGAGAGCCAGCAGAGAACUCUCAGGGCUGGGCCUACUCCUUCCUCAAUGAACUCAAGGGAUGGAACUUAGGUGGCCAGGCCUGUGUGGCAGGAGCUUUCACCCACUGAAUUAUCUUGGUGGCCCUCUUUUUUUUUUUUUUUUUAAGAAGGCAGAUUUAAGCUGAAAAGUUGGUUUGUUUGUUCUUUGACAUAAGGUCUCAAUCUGUAAGCCACUCUAGACUUCAAUU
rnacentral:lncRNA from 1 species